UCCUACGUGAAAUGAGAAGCAAUUGCAGGCAAAAGUUAAUCUCCAUUAAGAUUACCAAUAGAAACAUUGAGUAACUAAAACGAUAUGAUCAUGACCCCAAUAAGACACUUAUAAUUAGCUCUGGUGAUAGAUGGAAUCGGUUUAGUCAUCACGGUUUUCGCACUUCCUAUCUGAAUAUGUUUAGCGGCAUGCUAUGUAGCAUGGAUACUCUAACUAGGGUAGCGUGUCCGUGUCCGUGUCCGACACGUGUCGGAUACGUGUCGAUACCGACACUCUUCGAAUACUCUACAAUAAUCAUUUUCCUUUCUUACUAUAACUAUUAUAUAUUUUUAAUUCAAAGUUUUUAAUAAAUAACAAAUAAGUGCUCAUAUUUAAAAGAUUUCAACAAAAAAAAAAUCAAUAAUAAGUAUAAAACUAAAUUUAAACUACAUAAAUUGAAGAAUUUUAAAAAUUUAAUGUACGUGUCGACGACGUGUCGUGUCGGUACUUUUUUGAAAAACCACGAGUCGACGUAUCCGACACGUAUCGUGUCGGACACACGUGUCCGUGUCGGUGCAUCAUAGGCGGCAUGCAAUCAUUUUGUGUUGCACUCGAAUAUUAAUUUGAAAUCGGAAAAGAAUAUAAACGGUCUGAAUGCCAAACAUAACUGCUAUAUUAUACUGUUUCCAUAAAUGCAGGUGCAAUUUUUUCGUAAAGGAGAGUGUAAAUAAUGCAUAUGAACGAGCAUAAUGACAAAUGAAAGUUUACUGCAGCUGAAAGGUACUGACUCAACU
rnacentral:lncRNA from 1 species